rnacentral:lncRNA from 1 species
CGACAGACGACGGGGCAUGGUGGACGGCAACAUACGGUGAACGACAGCACAAAGUAGAGUCAACGACACUUGACGGCAGGCAGCGGUGGUACAAGCGGCGAAGAAGAAUCAAGGUUAACUUUUUCAAAUACUUUUCAUGUUUUUUCUAAAGAUUGUUGUGACCCAGUUGAAAUAUUCUACGUUGGAGUUUAUGAGUUGAGGAGAAGGAGUGACGAGAAAUGUAUCAGUGUGGAAGAGUCAGUAUUAAAGAAAUAAAAAUGCAGUAGGAAUAGAAAGAGGGAGAGCAAAAUAGGAUUUACUGGUUAUGGUUGUGAAAAGAAAAUUUGGGAGAAGGUGGGCUAUGAGAGGAGGGGAGGUUUACAGGAUUUUGAGAUUUAGGAAAAAUAAUUUUGAGAACUAGAAGAGUGAAUCAGAACUGGAUUUGGGGUUGAGAUGAAAGAAUAGGGUUUGUAUGAGAUAUAGAAGAUAAAGUGAAUAUUUGCAUAUAGGGAGUGACAUUAAUAAACAUAGAAAUCAACUCCAAGUCAACAAUUCUGUCAACAAUUAUUAUUAUUAAAU